rnacentral:rRNA from 1 species
AUUGAACGCUGGCGGCAUGCCUUACACAUGCAAGUCGAACGGCAGCACGGGUGCUUGCACCUGGUGGCGAGUGGCGAACGGGUGAGUAAUACAUCGGAACAUGUCCUGUAGUGGGGGAUAGCCCGGCGAAAGCCGGAUUAAUACCGCAUACGAUCUACGGAUGAAAGCGGGGGACCUUCGGGCCUCGCGCUAUAGGGUUGGCCGAUGGCUGAUUAGCUAGUUGGUGGGGUAAAGGCCUACCAAGGCGACGAUCAGUAGCUGGUCUGAGAGGACGACCAGCCACACUGGGACUGAGACACGGCCCAGACUCCUACGGGAGGCAGCAGUGGGGAAUUUUGGACAAUGGGCGAAAGCCUGAUCCAGCAAUGCCGCGUGUGUGAAGAAGGCCUUCGGGUUAUAAAGCACUUUUGUCCGGAAAGAAAUCCUUGGCUCUAAUACAGUCGGGGGAUGACGGUACCGGAAGAAUAAGCACCGGCUAACUACGUG